ACAGCAGCGCCGCGGUAAUACGUAGGGUGCAAGCGUUAAUCGGAAUUACUGGGCGUAAAGCGUGCGCAGGCGGUUAUAUAAGACAGAUGUGAAAUCCCCGGGCUCAACCUGGGAACUGCAUUUGUGACUGUAUAGCUAGAGUACGGCAGAGGGGGAUGGAAUUCCGCGUGUAGCAGUGAAAUGCGUAGAUAUGCGGAGGAACACCGAUGGCGAAGGCAAUCCCCUGGGCCUGUACUGACGCUCAUGCACGAAAGCGUGGGGAGCAAACAGGAUUAGAUACCCCAGUAGUCCCUGUCUCUUAUACA
rnacentral:rRNA from 1 species